UCACAUGCUAUUGAUUGUGCCAGACAAUGAGCAAUAAAAUAGGUAAGAAUGGCAGUCGGGGAAGUCAGCUGGGUUCUAGUUACAGCCGCAUUUCAGGAAAUUGUUUAAUAUGCUGACUUUAACAACCUAAACCUCUUGUCCAUGUGUGCACACAGGGUAGACCUCUGAAGAGUGGCGCUGUAAUUUCUAUGGUAACAGCUGUGUUAAGUCAAGGCAGGAAGACAGUUCAGCCUCCUCGCAGGCUAGUAGUGCAAAGGGCUCUUCACUCGGAUUAAAGCCUUCUCUCCCAGACUGAAUUGCCCACCCCACUGUGAACCCCCUAAACUUGAGACAGGUCUCAGUUAAUUUAGAAAGUUUAUUUUGCCAAGGUUGAGGAUGCACCAAUGACAGCCUCAGGGAAGUCUUGACAAAAUAUGCCCAAGGUUGUCAGGCACAGCUUGGUUUCAUACAUUUAGGGAGACAUCAUGAGACAUCAGUCAAUAUAUGUUAAGAAGUACAUUGCUUCAUCUGGAAAGACAGGACAACUUGAAGCAAAGGCAGGAAGACUGAAGUGGGGAGGAAGCUUCCAGGUCACAGAUGGCUGAUACACAAAUGGUUCCAUUCUUUUGAGUUUCUGAUCAGCCUUUCCAAAGGAGGCAAAUCAGAUAAGCAUCUAUCUGAUUGGGCAGAGGAGUGACUUUGAAUAGAAUGGGAGGCAGGUUUGCCCUAAGCAGUUCCCGGCUUGACUUUUCCUUCGUGAUUUUGGGGACCACAGAUAUUUUCCUUUCACAUUUCCACCCUUUUCUUUUUAAAAACCUGUUGGAGAAAGCAUUUUACAAGAAAAUAAGUCUCUGGUCUCAGGUUUCAUUUGAUCUCUCAUGGCGAGGACAGUUUAUUCCUUGAUGGGUAGGUCCCAAAAGCUCAUUUUUAGCAGGUUGUUAAGUCUCAUGUCCUGUGAAGAGAAAAUAGUGGGAGGAAGAGAGAGAAAACAACAACAAACAAAAGAACAAUCCGGGAAACAUUUGAUAUAGGCCACAUUACUCUGAAGUCUAUGCAUCAGUAGGCAGGUAUGAAAGUGGUUUAUGUAUGUAAAUAGGUUGCUGUUAUUUUCUUCUGAAGUUUAAGUUGUCUGGCUUCAGUUCACAGGAUUUUAAGAAAGCACAGCUUAGUUUUCGGUGACUCCAAAUUAGGAAAAAUGGAAAAAAGAAGGAAAAAAAUUUAAAAAUUAUUUUGGAGACUUGUAAUAAAAAAAAUUAGAAUUUGGUCCAAACUGUAGAAAGUAAUCCAAAUUGAAAAAAAAUUAGGCAAGACUAGAAUCUAACACAGAUAUAUAAUCAUUUGGAAACAUAAGUUUUUCUCCAGUUUCCCAUUUUACUAAAGACAAAUCAUGGUAGGAAUAGUUAACUUAUUAUAUUGGUCUAUAUAUUUGUAUACAUUGCAUCAAUAAUAAUAAUUUUUUUUACAUAGGCUUUUAAAUUGGCUUUGAUGUAACUUUGUUCCAUAAGAGAAAUCUUGGAUAAGACACACCCACCUCUUCUGCCUCAGGAACUGACUGAGACUUUGAUGAGACUUUGAUUCCAUUUGUAGGCACAGAUUCUGCUGGAGACCUGCCCCUGGAGCCAGAGAAAUCUUGGAUAAGACACACCCAUCUCUUCUGCCUCAGGAACUGAGACUUUGAUGAGACUUUGUUUGCAUUGUAGGCACAGAUUCAGCUGGAGACUUGCCCCUGGAGCCAGAGAAAUCUUGGAUAAGACACACCCAUCUCUUCUGCCUCAGGAACUGAGACUUUGAUGAGACUUUGAUUCCAUUUGUAGGCACAGAUUCAGCUGGAGACCUGCCCCUGGAGCCAGAGAAAUCUUGGAUAAGACACACCCAUCUCUUCUGCCUCGGGAACUGAGACUUUGAUGAGACUUUGAUUCCAUUUGUAGGCACAGAUUCAGCUGGAGACCUGCCCCUGGAGCCAGAGAAAUCUUGGAUAAGACACACCCAUCUCUUCUGCCUCAGGAACUGACUGAGAUUUUGAUGAGGCUUUGAUUCCAUUCCUAGGCACACAUUCAGCUGGAGACCUGCCCCUGGAGCCAGAGCAAUUUGCUGCUGCACAUCAGGAUCUGUAUGACAAGCUGACUCAGCAAGAAACGUUCCUAGAAGUGGUUCCAAUGCAAGACUAGGACCAGAACCAGGCCCUAGCUUAGCUUUUCACCUCAAAAGUAGGUUGAAAAUGUAGACCAGGAUCUGUAUAACAAGCUGACUCAGCAAGAAACGUUCCUAGAAGUGGUUCCAAUGCUAGACAGGGACCAGAACCAGGCCCUAGCUUAGCUUUUUGUUUGGACUCCGGUGAAGGCCCCAAGAUGGCGACAGGCAACCAUCUUGGCCACCCUGACUCAGCAUUAGCGGGUUCAUCUUCCCCCCGUUCCCGCCAUCCCGGCAAGAACGCGUGCCCGCUAAGGCGGGUCACACUCAGGAAAAUAAAACCUAACUAGCUCCGCCCUUGCCCCACCCCGAAUCCGCCCCUAACUCACCUAGUGUCCAUAUAAGCAUGCUGCACCUCCAACACAGUGCGACUUCCCCAGCCUUUCCCGGCGGACCAGUGAACCUCGCCCAAGAGCUUAAUAAAGGAACUUUUGCAUUCUUUGCCCUGCCUCUCGACCCUUUUUGUCUACGGAACUCUUCCAUUGCCUUUCACUUUUCACCUCAAAAGCAAGGUUCUAAAUGUAGACCAGGAUCUGUAUGACAAGCUGACUCAGCAAGAAACAUUCCUAGAAGUGGUUCCAAUGCUAGACUGGGACCAGAAUCAGGACCUAGCUGAGCUUUUCACCUCAAAAGUAAGGUUCAAAAUGUAGACUAGGAUCUGUAUGACAAGCUGACUCAGCAAGAAACGUUCCUAGAAGUGGUUCCAAUGCUAGACUGGGAGCAGAACCAGGCCCUAGCUUAGCUUUUUGUUUGGACUCUGGUGAAGGCCCCAAGAUGGCGACAGGCAACCAUCUUGGCCACCCUGACUCAGCAUUUCCGGGUUCAUCUUCCCCCCGUUCCCACCAUCCCGGCUAGCAUGCGUGCCCACUAAGGCGCGUCACACUCAGGAAAAGGAAACCUAACUAACUCCGCCCUUGCCCCACCCCGACUCCGCCCUUACCUCACCUAGUUUCCAUAUAAGUGAGCUGCACAUCCAACACAGUGCGACUUCCCUGGCCCUACCCUGCGGACCAGUGAACCUCGCCCAAGAGCUUAAUAAAGGAACUUUUGCCUUCUUUGCCCUGCCUCUCGACCCUUUUUGUCCGCGGCACCCUUCCAUUGUGUUUCACUUUUCACCUCAAAGGUAAGGUUCAAAAUGUAGACCAGAUUCUGCAUGACAAGCUGAUUCAGGAAGAAAUGUUCCUAGAAGUGGUUCCAAUGCCAGACUGGGACCAGAAACAGGUACUAGCUAAGCUUUUCACCUCAAAAGUAGGUUCAAAAUGUAGAUCAGGAUCUGUAUGACAAGCUGACUCAGCAAGAAACGUUCCUAGAAGUGGUUCCAAUGCUAGAACGGGACCAGAACCAGGCCCUAGCAUAGCUUUUCCCCUCAAAGUAAGGUUCAAAAUGUAGACCAGGAUCUGUAUGACAAGCUGACUCAGCAAGAAACGUUCCUAGAAGUGCUUCCAAUGCUAGACUGGGAGCAGAACCAGGCCCUAGCUUACGUUUUUGUUUGAACUCCGGUGAAGGCCCCAAGAUGGCGACAGGCAACCAUCUUGGCCACCCUGACUCAGCAUUUCUGGGUUCAUCUUCCCCCCAUUCCCGCCAUCCCGGCUAGCACGCGUGCCCACUAAGGCGCGUCACUCUCAGGAAAACGAAACCUAACUAACACCACCCUUGCCCCACCCCGACUCCGCCCCUACAUCACCUAGUGUCCAUAUAAGCGUGCUGCAACUCCAACACAGUGCGACUUCCCUGGCCCUCCCCUGCGGACAAGUGAACCUUGCCCGAGGGCUUAAUAAAGGAAAUUUGCCUUCUUUGCCCUGCUUCUCGACCCCUUUUGUCCGAGGCACUCUUCCAUUGCCUUUCACUUUUCACCUCAAAAGUAAGGUUCAAAAUGUAGAUCAGGAUCUGUACGACAAGCUGACUCAGCAAGAAACGUUCCUAGAAGUGGUUCCAAUGCUAGACUGGGACCAGAACCAGGCCCUAGCUUAGCUUUUCACCUCAAAACUAGGUUCAAAAUGUAGAUCAGGAUCUGUAUGACAAGCUGUCUCAGCAAGAAACGUUCCUAGAAGGUUCCAAUGCUAGACUGGGACCAGAGCCAGGCCCUAGCUCAGCUUUUCACCUCAAAAGUAAGGUUCAAAAUGUAGACCAGAUUCUGCAUGACAAGCUGACUCAGCAAGAAACGUUCCUAGAAGUGGUUCCAAUGAUAGACUGGGACCAGAACCAGGCCCUAGCUUAGCUUUUUGUUUGGACUCUGGUGAAGGCCCCAAGAUGGCGACAGGCAACGAUCUUGGCCACCCUGACUCAGCAUUUCCGGGUUCAUCUUCCCCUGGUUCCCGCCAUCCGGGCUAGCACGUGUGUGCACUAAGGUGCGUCACUCUCAUGAAAACGAAACCUAACUAACUCCGCCCUUGCCCCACCCCGACUCUGCCCCUACCUCACCUAGUGUCCAUAUAAGCAUGCUGCACCUCCAACACAGUGCGACUUCCCUGGCCCUCCCCUGCGGACCACUGAACCUCGCCCGAGAGCUUAAUAAAGGAACUUUUGCCUUCUUUGCCCUGCCUCUUGAUGCUUUUUGUCCGCAGCACCCUUCCAUUGCCUUUCACUUUUCACCUCAAAAGUAAGGUUCAAAAUGUAGACCAGGAUUUGCAUGACAGACUGACUCAGGAAGAAACGUUCCUAGAAGUGGUUCCAAUGCUAGACUGGGACCAGAACCACGCCCUAGUUUAGCUUUUCACCUCAAAAGUAGGUUCAAAAUGUAGAUUAGGAUGUAUAUGACAAGCUGACUCAGCAAGAAACGUUCCUAGAAGUGGUUCUAAUGCUAGACUGGGACCAGAACCAGGCCCUAGCCUAGCUUUUUGUUUGGAUUCCGGUGAAGGCCCCAAGAUGGUGACAGGCAACCAUCUUGGCCACCCUGACUCAGCAUUUCCGGGUUCAUCUUCCCCCGGUUCCCGCCAUCCGCGCUAGCACGUGUGCCCACUAAGGCGCAUCACACUCAUCAAAAUGAAACCUAACUCCACCCUUGCCCCACCCCGACUCUGCCCCUACCUCACCUAGUGUCCAUAUAAGCGUGCUGCACCUCCAACACAGUGCGACUUCCCUGGCCCUCCCCUGCGGACCAGUGAACCUCGCCCAAGAGCUUAAUAAAGGAACUUUUGCCUUCUUUGCCCUGCCUCUCGAUGCUUUUUCUCCGCGGCACCCUUCCAUUGCCUUUCACUUUUCACCUCAAAAGUAAGGUUCAAAAUGUAGACCAGGAUCUGUAUGACAAGCUGACUCAGCAAGAAACGUUCCUAGAAGUGGUUCCAAUGCUAGACUGGGACGAGAACCAGGCCCUAGCUUAGCUUUUUGUUUGGACUCUGGUGAAGGCCCCAAGAUGGCGAGAGGAAACCAUCUUGGACACCCUGACUCAGCAUUUCCGGGUUCAUCUUCCCCCCAUUCCCGCCAUCUCGGAUAGCACGCAUGCCCACUAAGGCGCAUCACACUCAUGAAAACAAAACCUAAUUAACUCCGCCCUUGCCCCACCCCAACUCCGCCCCUACCUCAGCUAGUGUCCAUAUAAGCGUGCUGCACCUCCAACACAGUUGGACUUCCCUGGCCCUCCCCUGCGGACCAGUGAACCUCGCCCGAGAGCUUAAUAAAGGAACCUUUGCCUUCUUUGCCCUGCCUCUCAACGCUUUUUCUCCGCGGCACCCUUCCAUUGCCUUUCACUUUUCACCUCAAAAGUAAGGUUCAAAAUGUAGACCAGGAUCUGUAUGACAAGCUGACUCAGCAAGAAACGUUCCUAGAAGUGGUUCCAAUGCUAGACUGGGACCAGAACCAGGCCCUAGCUCAGCAUUUCACCUCAAAAUAAGGUUCAAAAUAUACACCAGGAUCUGUAUGACAAGCUGACUCAGCAAGAAAUGUUCCUAGAAGUGGUUCCAAUGCUAGACAGGGACCAGAACAAGGCCCUAGCUUAGCUUUUCACCUCAAAAGUAAGGUUCAAAACGUAGACCAGGAUCGGUAUGACAAGCUGACUCAGCAAGAAACGUUCCUAGAAGUGGUUCCAAUGCUAGACUGGGACCAGAACCAGGCCCUAGCUUAGCUUUUUGUUUGGACUCUGGUGAAGGCCCCAAGAUGGCGACAGGCAACCAUCUUGGCCACCCUGACUCAGCAUUUCCGGGUUUAUCUUCCCCCGGUUCCUGCCAUCCCGGAUAGCACGCAUGCCCACUAAGGCAUGUCACACUCAGCAAAAUCGAAACCUAACUACCUACGCCCUUGCCCCACCCCGACUCUGCCCCUACCUCACCUAGUGUCCAUCAUAAGCAUGCUGCACCUCCAACACAAUGUGACUUCCCUGGCCCUCCCCUGCGGACCAGUGAACCUCGCCCGAGAGCUUAAUAAAGGAACCUUUGCCUUCUUUGCCCUGCCUCUCGACCCUUUUUGUCCGCGGCACCCUUCCAUUGCCUUUCACUUUUCACCUCAAAAGUAAGGUUCAAAAUGUAGAUCAGGAUCUGUAUGACAAGCUGACUCAGCAAGAAACGUUCUUGAAGUGGUCCAAUGCUAGAAUGGAACCAGAACCAGGCCCUAGCUUAGCUUUUCACCUCAAAAGUAAGGUUCCAAAUGUACACCAGGAUGUUGCCCAAUCUGCAUGACAAGCUGACUCAGCAAGAAACGUUCCUAGAAGUGGUUCCAAUGCUAGACUGGGACCAGAACCAGGCCCUAGCUUAGCUUUUUGUUUGGACUCUGGUGAAGGCCCCAAGAUGGCGACAGGCAACCAUCUUGGCCACCCUGACUCAGCAUUUCCGGGUUCAUCUUCCCCCGGUUCCCGCCAUCCGGGCUAGCACGUGUGCCCACUAAGGCGCAUCACACUCAUCAAAAUGAAACCUAACUCCACCCUUGCCCCACCCCGACUCUGCCCCUACCUCACCUAGUGUCCAUAUAAGCGUGCUGCACCUCCAACACAGUGCGACUUCCCUGGCCCUCCCCUGCGGACCAGUGAACCUCGCCCGAGAGCUUAAUAAAGGAACUUUUGCCUUCUUUGCCCUGCCUCUCGACGCUUUUUCUCCGCAGCACCCUUCCAUUGCCUUUCACUUUUCACCUCAAAAGGAAGGUUCAAAAUGUAGACCAGGAUCUGUACGACAAGCUGACUCAGCAAGAAACGUUCCUAGAAGUGGUUCCAAUGCUAGACUGGGACCAGAACCAGGCCCUAGCUUAGCUUUUCACCUCAAAAGUGAGGUUCAAAAUGUAGAUGAAGAUCAGACUGCAGAUCAUCAGGCAUACGAGGUCUCCUCCAUGGUUGGAGACAGUUUAACCUCUAGUAGGCUCUGUAGUUAUGGUAAGGGAUGGAAUUGUGAGUUGAGUCAGGCUUGAAUGCUGAGCCUCACCUUUGUCUGGAGGUGGAAAUGUCACCUUACGGCGUUUUGGAGCUGGAGCUGUAGUCGUCAGGGCUGUAGAAGGUUCAACCUUUGUAGUGGAUUCAGGCAUGAUGGUAAGCCCCCGAUCUAAAGGUUGAAUUGUGAGUUGAGUCUGACCCUUGUCUGAAGGUGGAAGUCUCACCUCAGGAUGUUUUGGAGAAGAAAAUGUAGUCGUCAGAGCUGUAGAAGGUUCAACCUCUGUAGUGGAUUCUGGAGUGAUGGUAAGCCCCUGAUCCAAAUGUUGAACUGUGGCUUGAGUCAGGUUUGAAUGCUGAGUCUGAACAUGGCCUGGAUGUGGAAGUGUCACCUUAGGGUGGUUUGGAGGAACUAUAGUCUUCUUCAAGGGUGUAGGAUGUUCAACCUCUGUAUUGGAUUCUGGACUUAUGGUAAGUCCCAGGUGCAAAGGUUGAACUGUAAUGCUGGGUGACAUUGAAUGCUGAGUUUGAUCCUGACCUGGUGUUGCGGCUGUUACCUCUUGAUAUGCUGGAAGUUGGGGUACAACUUUCUUAGGAGGCUGAGUUGGGGUCUCCUGCAUGGUUGGAGAAAGUUCAACGUCUGUUGUGGAUUCUGGAGUGAUGGUAAGCCCCAGAUCCAAAGGUUGAACUGUGAAACUGGCUAAUAUUGAGUGCUGAGCUUGAUUCUGCGCUUGUGUUGGAACUGUCACCUCAUAGUGAGCUGGAUGUUGAGCUGCAACCUCCUUAAGUGGCUAUGGAAGCUGAAGUGGGACCAUCUGCUGGCUUGAAAGUUCUAUGUCCUUAGGGGGCUCUGGAACCUGAACUGUGGCCUCCUGCUGGGUUGGAGAAGGUUCUGCCUCCAUAGAGGGCUCUGGAAUCUGAGCUGGAACCUCCUGCUGAGUUAGAUAUGGUCCAACCUCCUGAGGGAACUCUGGAGGCAAAGAUGGGGCUAUCUGCUGGGUCAGACAGGGUUCUGUCACCAUAGGGGGCUCUGAAGACUGAGCAGGGCCUGCCUGCUAGACUGGAGAGGAUUCUACCUCUUUAGUUGGCUCUAAAAGCUGAGUUGGGGGCUGCUGUAGGACUGGAGAUGGUUCGACCUUCUUAGGUGGCUCUGAUGGCUGAGCUGAUAUCUCCUGCUGCGGUGGAGGAGUGACCUCUUCAGUGGACUUUGGAGGAUGACCUGAGGCUUCCUGCUGGGUUGCACAUGGUUCAACCUCCUUAGGGGCCUCUGGUGACUCAGCUUGAACUCUUGCUGGACUGGAGAAGGUUCUACCUUCUUAGGAGGAUCUGGAGUCUGAGCUGUGGCCUCUUACUGGACUGGAGGUUCAAUCUUUUCAGGAGAAUGCAGAGGUGGGGAAGGCAGAUCAGGCUGGGCUAGAGAAAAGUCAGCCUGCUCAGUGGGAAUAGGAGGGUUGUCUUGCUGGACUGGAGAAGGUUCAACCUCCAUAGUGACUGCUGAAGGUAUGGGAAGCUCCAUAUCCACAUUUUUAACUGUGGUAUUAGGCAAAGUUGAAUUACUUCUGAAUAUUGAAGACAGAUCUAGAGGUGAAAAUAUCAUCCCAUCAUUCAGUGAACUUUCAAAGUCUGAAGAGAGCUCGAUUGGAAGCUGAGUUGCGGGCUCUUGAUGGACUGGAGGAAGUUCAUCAUUUUCGGGGUAUUUAGCUGCUGAACUAUAAUCUCUUGCUGGUCUUUCAAAUGUUGAAACUUCUCAGGGGACACUAAGGGCUGAGCUGGGGCCCCCUGUUGGGUUAAAAUUUCAACCUGAUUAGUGAAAUCUGGAGUCAUGGUAACCAUGUGAUCCACAGGUUUAACAGUGACAUUGUACAAUGUUGGAGGCUGAACUUGAUCAUGACUUAGAGGAGAAACUGUUACCUCAUGAUGCUCUGGAGAUUGAGCUACAACUUCAUUAAGGAGCUCUGGAGUCUGAGCUGGGGCCUCCUGCUGGGUUAGAGAAGACUCAACCUCCUCAGGGGUCUGUGGAUGCUCAGCCUCCUGCUGGGCUGCAGAGGGGUUCUGAUCCUUAAUAGGUUCUGGAGACUGAACUGAAGUCUCCUGUUGAACUGGUAAAGGCCCAGCCUCUUCCAAUGACUCUGGAGGCAGGGGUGGGCCCCCAUGCUGGGUGGCAGAAGGUUCUACAUCAUUAACUGGCCCUGAGAGCUGAGCUGUACCCUCUUGGUAGACUGGAGAAGUUCCCACCUCUGCAGUAGGCUCUGUUGCUAUGGUGAGCUGCAUAUCUGGAGGCUUAACAGUGACAUUGGGCAAACCGGAAUGCUGAGCUUGAUGGUGACCUGGAGGUGAAACUGUGACUUCAUAAUGUUCUGGAGGCUGAGCUGGGGUCUCCUUCUUGGCUGGAGAAGAUUCAACCUCCCCAGAAGACUCAGAGGGCUAAGCUGGCUGUUCCUGCUCACUGCGGGAAGGGUCAGCCUCCACAGGAGGACCUGGAGGAUCAGUUGUGGCCUCCUCUUGGGUUGCAGAAGUUUCCACCUCCUCUGGAGACUGGGUUGGGGCCUCCUGCUGGGAUGGAGAAGAUUCAGUCUCCUUGGCAGACUCUGAAGUUAUGGCAAUAUCCACAUCCGCAGGUUUAACUGUAACAUUGGGCAAGUUAUAAUGAGCUUGAUCCUCGCCUGGAAGUUGAACUGUCACCUCAUGAUUCAGUGGAGUUUGAAUUGCACCCUCCAUAGACUCUGGAGCUGAGCUGGGGCCUCCUGCUGGGUCUGAGAAGGUUCAACUCCCCUAGGAAACUCACAAGGCUGAGCUGGCUGCUCCUGCUCACUGGGGGAAGGUUCAACCUCCACAGGAGGACCUGGAGGCUCAGCUGGAGUCCCUUGCUGAGUUGCAGAAGGUUUCAUCUCCUCAGGGAACUCUGUUGUCUGAGCUGGGGCCUUUAAUUGGGCUGAGGAAGAGUUGACCUCCUUGGGGUGCUCUGGAGGCAGACAGGCAGCCUGUUCCUGGCUUGACAUUGGGCAAGUGUGAGUGCUGAGUUUCACUCCAACUUUUAAAUGGGACAUUUACCUCAUGAUGUAUUGAUGGCUGAGCUACAAUUUCUUCAGAGGGAGGUAGCUGCUGUGCUGGGCACUCCUGCUCUGUUGAAGAAGAGCGACCCCCUCAAGGGACUGUGAAGGCAGAGCUGGGGACUCCUGCUGGUUAAAGAAGGUUCUACCUCCUCAGGGAGCUGUGGAAGCUGUGCUGGGGCUUCUUGCUGGAGCUAAGAGGACUGGAUCUCUUCAAGGGUCUCUGGGUUUUGAGUUUCAGGCUCUAGAAGGAAUUGAGAAAGUCCAGCUUGCUCAUCUGAGUUCACCUGGACUUCUGAAGGCAGGCUGCCCGGAUACAGUUGAUGACUAAGCUCUGAUUCUUUAUUUUGCCCAAAUUCCUACCUAAGGGGUCUAGGGAGUCAUGCCCUACAAACCAUAAAUUCUCACCAGAUGGGUUUUAUUUGACCCUAUAUAUCAUGACUUACUUUUCAAUCUAAUUCUGGCACAAGGAAAAAAUAUUUAACCCACAAUAUAUUUCUUUGCCAUACCUUGAAAUUGCCCUGCCAAAUCUCAAGUGGGAAAAAUCCACAUUCUAUAGAGAAUCAAUCCCCUUUCCCCUUUGUUUUCCUUCCUUUUUUUCCAGAUCCAGGAGAGAAUAAACUAUAAGCCAGGCACCCUUUUAGGUCCAAUAAGAAACAUUUUAUAACCUACUUUCCCCCUGAACUCUGCUGAGAGAUUCGUCUGCACAACAAAACAUGGUCUCCACAAUCCUUUAUCUUAACCUGAACAUUCCUUUCCAUUGAUCCCAGGUCUUCGGAUAAACUCAACCAAUUGUCAACCAGAAAAUAUUUAAAUUUAACUGUAGCCUGGAAGCCCCCACUUUGAGUUGUCCCGCCUUUCUGAACCAAACCAUUGCAUUUCUUCAUGUAUUUGAUUGAUGCCUCAUGCCUCCCUGAAAUAUAUAAAACCAAGCUCUACCCCAACCACCUUGGGCACUGUAAGGCUCUUGUGUUGGUUUGAACCCUGAGAGCACACCAACAAACAUGCAGCUAAUGCUCAGUGCAUCAAAAGAUGCUAGUGUUUGAAAGACUCAGAGACUUCUCUCAGUAAUUUGCCAAGCACUUACAGAACUCCAUUUAUAUACAAAUCUUUCUUACCCUCCCAUCUCAAAAGGUAUGGCUGAUGGUCCAUUAUCUCUCAGAAAAAUGUAUUAUAGCUCCAGAUGGUAGAAUGACCAGGAAGAA
rnacentral:lncRNA from 1 species